rnacentral:rRNA from 1 species
CAGUGGCGAACGGGUGAGUAACACGUGAGCAACCUGCCCCUGACUCUGGGAUAAGCGCUGGAAACGGCGUCUAAUACUGGAUACGAGACGUGACCGCAUGGUCAACGUUUGGAAAGAUUUUUUGGUUGGGGAUGGGCUCGCGGCCUAUCAGCUUGUUGGUGAGGUAAUGGCUCACCAAGGCGUCGACGGGUAGCCGGCCUGAGAGGGUGACCGGCCACACUGGGACUGAGACACGGCCCAGACUCCUACGGGAGGCAGCAGUGGGGAAUAUUGCACAAUGGGCGGAAGCCUGAUGCAGCAACGCCGCGUGAGGGAUGACGGCCUUCGGGUUGUAAACCUCUUUUAGCAGGGAAGAAGCGAAAGUGACGGUACCUGCAGAAAAAGCACCGGCUAACUACGUGCCAGCAGCCGCGGUAAUACGUAGGGUGCAAGCGUUAUCCGGAAUUAUUGGGCGUAAAGAGCUCGUAGGCGGUUUGUCGCGUCUGCUGUGAAAUCCGGAGGCUCAACCUCCGGCCUGCAGUGGGUACGGGCAGACUAGAGUGCGGUAGGGGAGAUUGGAAUUCCUGGUGUAGCGGUGGAAUGCGCAGAUAUCAGGAGGAACACCGAUGGCGAAGGCAGAUCUCUGGGCCGUAACUGACGCUGAGGAGCGAAAGGGUGGGGAGCAAACAGGCUUAGAUACCCUGGUAGUCCACCCCGUAAACGUUGGGAACUAGUUGUGGGGUCCAUUCCACGGAUUCCGUGACGCAGCUAACGCAUUAAGUUCCCCGCCUGGGGAGUACGGCCGCAAGGCUAAAACUCAAAGGAAUUGACGGGGACCCGCACAAGCGGCGGAGCAUGCGGAUUAAUUCGAUGCAACGCGAAGAACCUUACCAAGGCUUGACAUAUACGAGAACGGGCCAGAAAUGGUCAACUCUUUGGACACUCGUAAACAGGUGGUGCAUGGUUGUCGUCAGCUCGUGUCGUGAGAUGUUGGGUUAAGUCCCGCAACGAGCGCAACCCUCGUUCUAUGUUGCCAGCACGUAAUGGUGGGAACUCAUGGGAUACUGCCGGGGUCAACUCGGAGGAAGGUGGGGAUGACGUCAAAUCAUCAUGCCCCUUAUGUCUUGGGCUUCACGCAUGCUACAAUGGCCGGUACAAAGGGCUGCAAUACCGCGAGGUGGAGCGAAUCCCAAAAAGCCGGUCCCAGUUCGGAUUGAGGUCUGCAACUCGACCUCAUGAAGUCGGAGUCGCUAGUAAUCGCAGAUCAGCAACGCUGCGGUGAAUACGUUCCCGGGUCUUGUACACACCGCCCGUCAAGUCAUGAAAGUCGGUAAC